rnacentral:rRNA from 1 species
CACGUAGGGCGCAAGCGUUGUCCGGAAUUAUUGGGCGUAAAGAGCUCGUAGGCGGUCUGUUGCGUCCGCUGUGAAAACUCGGGGCUUAACCCCGAGCCUGCAGUGGAUACGGGCAGACUAGAGGUAGGUAGGGGGAGAAUGGAAUUCCCGGUGUAGCGGUGAAAAUGCGCAGAUAUCAGGAGGAACACCGGUGGCGAAGGCGGGUCUCUGGGCCGAUAUUGACGCUGAGGAGCGAAAAGCGUGGGGGAGCAAACAGG